rnacentral:rRNA from 1 species
GAUGAACGCUGGCGGCGUGCUUAACACAUGCAAGUCGAACGGGAAACCUUUUAUUGAAGCUUCGGCAGAUUUAGCUGGUUUCUAGUGGCGGACGGGUGAGUAACGCGUGGGUAACCUGCCUUAUACAGGGGGAUAACAGUCAGAAAUGGCUGCUAAUACCGCAUAAGCGCACAGAGCUGCAUGGCUCAGUGUGAAAAACUCCGGUGGUAUAAGAUGGACCCGCGUUGGAUUAGCUGGUUGGGGGGGUAACGGCCCACCAAGGCGACGAUCCAUAGCCGGCCCGAGAGGGUGAACGGCCACAUUGGGACUGAGACACGGCCCAGACUCCUACGGGAGGCAGCAGUGGGGAAUAUUGCACAAUGGGGGAAACCCUGAUGCAGCGACGCCGCGUGAAGGAAGAAGUAUCUCGGUAUGUAAACUUCUAUCAGCAGGGAAGAUAAUGACGGUACCUGACUAAGAAGCCCCGGCUAACUACGUG